GCCUGGCUGGCUCAGUUGGCAGAGCAUGUGACUCUUGAUCUCAGGAUCUUGAGUUUGAGCCCCAUGUUGGGCG
rfam:Felis catus isolate Cinnamon breed Abyssinian chromosome X, whole genome shotgun sequence.